UUCAUUCAGCUGCUGAGGGCUUAUAUGGCCACUGAAAGGAAUGCAGUCCUGGCUGAGUACUUUUUCCAGUGAAGAAAUGUUAAUUUGUUCCAUGCCAUCCCCAUUUUUUGUGCACCUAUGUUUAAAAUCAACUUUCACUGAUCACCUCAGAGAGAGAGAAUUUGUAAAUACACUGUAUUAAAUCAUGUUUGGUAUCAAACUGUGAACCAUGCUGAUAAAAGAAGAAUUGACCCAAACUACUCAACCUCAGUCUAAUGAGAUCAAAAGACAUCAGGCAAGAACUAAGCCACUCCUUCCCUGCUUUCAGCUUCUGAUUGUUUUCUGUUCACUGAACUCUCCAAUAUUAUUUGGUGAUAAGGACUAGGGAGAAGUGAGUAAGUUAUCAAAAUAAAUCAAAUAUGUCAAGAUGUGGGUAAUACCA
rnacentral:lncRNA from 1 species